rnacentral:misc_RNA from 1 species
UUGUGAAUCGGGGAAGGACGAUCAUACUGAAUGAAAUCAAUGAACUACAGAACGACGAUACACUCCUUCCUUUUGCAGCUUUCUCAUUAAUUGUUUAUUAAGAUUGGGGUUCCUCAUAACUGAACCUUUGAAUUAGCUCUACGUAGAAGAUGUCGAACCCGCUCAGCUGCUUGAGCGCGAGUCUUUCUCUUCUGUUUCGCCUUGGAAUGCCUAUUUACAAGAGG